CCCUGCAGGGCCUCUGGAACCCAGCAGAGGGCGGCAGUUGUCUUCUUACAGACCGCCUGGUGCCGCCAAAGGCCCCAGGGUUUCACCUCCGCCAGGCGGGCCUCCGGACCCCGCCCCCAGGAGGCUUCCAGGGCUCUCGAGGCCUAAGGGGGCUGUGGCGGCAAGAUGGCCUCUCCGCCUUAGCCAGGAAACCUAAUGUGGCACAGAAAAGAGACCUGAAAACCAAUAGUUGAAGAACGACCAAGAGGCUGAGUAGAGAACCCAGGGCUCUGAUGAAAGCAGGAAAACUCAGCCUCUCUCCAGAGACCAAGUCCUAUGAUUUACAGCCAGCACUCCCCGGGACAGAGAAGGUAACCCAGGCGCCUGCUGAGGAGGAUGCAAGGCUGUGGCAGGCCCAGCAGACGCUGGGUCCCCUGAUGCCUGGAGUUCGAGGCACACAGAUUGCAGGGUACCAUAGCCUGGACUACCCCAGGGAGAGCAAGGUGACUCAAUGAGGACUCCUGUGCAGAGGCAGGAGGCAGGCUGUACCUGGGACCCUCCUUCUGUAGGCUCUGGCUCCUGGAGGCCUACAAAGCCCAGCUCUCCUCUAGUGCUAUGAGACAUCAAGUAUCAGGACACAGAAGAGACAAAGUUAGUGGGUGGAGGCAGCUCUUGGUAACAUACUUCAGACAAGCUACCAGAGCCCAUUAAGGAGGAGAAUUCCAGGAACCAAAACCAAGCUGAACAAGGAAGGGGAGAUGAGCAAAAGAGAAACCAGUUCCUGGUUAGAGAACCACCUUUUCUUCAACAAAUAUCCACUGCUCUCAUGAAGUGCUCUAGCAUUUGACAAAUAAUCUAACAACUAAUCAGUCACAAUCUUGAUCGAUGCUAUUAAAGAGAAGGAUGGUUUCUGCCAGAGUAGAGAUCUGACAUGGCAUCAGGAGAGUCUCCCAAAGAAAGUAACAAACUGGGGCCAAUGUGCAUGAGGGUAUGCAGCUGGGCAGGUACUAUCCGUGGUGAAGCUAAUAAAAACACUAGGGUUGCAUACCCACUAUGUGCUGGACUCUGUUGUCCUUGUUCCUUCAUCCUU